GAUAAUUAAUAUAUUUAUAAAUAAACUUAACAAUAUUUGUUAAAAGAAAUUUCUUAUACAAGUCAAAUGUAUAUUAAUAUAUCAAAAAUUUAUAAAAAUAAAAUAAAUUAUAUUUUUCUCAGUGGGUUAAUAACGGUCUUUUUGAUUUUCAGAUACUUUUACUAUAUUCAUUUUAUUAUAUUCUAUCCCACUAUAUAUGAGUUAUUAGAUCUUAUGGUUCGACCACAAGGCUGAUUCGGAUAUGAAAACUCAAUGAAAACAUUGUACCGGACUUAAAUAAUAAUAAUAGAACAGCUUUUAAAUAUUUUAGAUAUCUAAUAAUAAAUAUAAAUUUAUUUAAUAUUUGAGUUUACGGUCACCAAAAAAAUACCUGCGCUUCUUAAGCGCGGAUCAAAAUCUAGUUAUUUAGUAUAAUAGAUAAAAUGUUUGUCGGUUUGUAAUGAGAAUUAAAUGAUAUGAUUUUAAAUUAAUGAUUUUCUAGUGAAGGUCCAUUUUUUUUUAAUAUCACACAUGAAUGAUAAGUCAUGAUAUCUCUUUAAUAGAUAUAUAUGAAGAUGUGUUUAUCAUUUUUUAAAACAUAAUAAUUUUAUCGUAUGUUUUUUUAUUGAAUUGGUUGUUUCCAGAUCACGUUUUUUUGUUUGGAAAAGAUUGAUAGUUAUUUAGUUCCUAUAAUCUAGAAAGUGAGUUAUUUAGAUCUAUAAUAAUGAUAAAAUUAGAGAUUAAAUGUAAUAUGACUUUUUAAUAAUAGGUUCAUUAGGUCUAUUAGAUUGUUUUUUUUUUAAAUCACACAUGAGUCAAAGUCGUGACUUCUCGUUUAAUAUAUAAGAUUAAAGUUAUCAUAUUCUUUCAUAAAAGCACUUAUUUUCGGGGACAAAUUAAUUAUCCUUAAAAAGAUUAAUUUAGCUAAUUCUUUACACUAAACACCAAGCAACAGCCGCAACUUCGAUUUUCAAUUUUCAAGUUUCAACAACUAUUCCAGAUUUAUAGAAUUGAACUGUUGGGAUGUCACUAUUUCCAGUUAUAGAAUACAUCCUUAUAUAUUUUUAACAUCGCUGAUUUGAUCAAUAUAUUUCUGUAUGCGUUGUAUUGUGCUUUGUCAUUUUGAGAACAAGUCAACGCUGGUUUCCUAGAAUAGAAAAUAGUCCUCCAUUAUUAACACAUAUUUAAUAACAAAUAUUGAAGCGUGAAUCAAAUAGGAGUAGUUUUAUCUUUAAUUAAUUUUUUAUAAAUUUUAAAAUCCUGUUUAAAGGAUAUAAAAUAUUGAGUUCAAACUGGCUCGUUCCGUUAGACAAUUCCAGAGAUACAAAUAGGAAUAACUUUUAGUAACUUAUAAAAAUUAUCUACAAUUGUUCUAUUCCAGAAAAUCAAUUGCGAAACUAAAAUUGUAUAUCUGAAAAGUUCUGAAUGAUAAAUAAUUUAGAAGUAUAGAUAAAAAAUCUUUUGGAAUUUAUCAGAUAUGCAAAGAAUGAAUGAUAGGCUUGGUUCCAUGCAAAUGUGACAAUCUAGAAGCUCCGAAAUUCCACAAGCAUUACCUAUUGAAGAAUCACAAGUUUUAAGUUUGGGUGAUAUUUGUAUGGUGGAUGGCUUUGAAAUAAUAGUAUGGAAACGAUCAAACUAAUGAGAACGCAACAUCUAAGAAGGCGAAAAGAUUUGUUACACACAUAAAUAAAAGCAUUAAAAUGGGCUAUGGAAAAGAUACUACAAUAUUCGACGUGUCAGAAUUUUGGAACGGAUUACAAGGACCUGAUUACAAUAAUAAAAGAACCACAAGCUCGACUUAGUUUCUCAAGAGAGCUAAAGGUGAUUCAUACACUUUAGAUAUGUUUUUCGGACUAUAUAAUUUCUUACAUUCCAAGAGCGCAAAACGGAAUUGUUAAUUCUUUUGUUAAGAAUGCUCGUUUUUUUUCACAGAGAUAUUUGUUACAUUAGUUAUUCUAUUCCGGUCUGGUUAUCCAUACUACUUCAAAUUUAAAUAAUUGAACCAAAAAAAAUCAAUUGCGUAGGUGACUAAGACACAAUAUAUAUACUAUAGAGUAAUAAUAUGAUGCGAAAUGUAUAGCGAAACAAACAGCUAAAUUAUAGGUGGUUGAAAAGAACAAUAAAUGAAUAAUAUAUUAUAUUAUAUGGAAUAUUGAAAUCGAAAACUAUCUCAAUCCACCAACCCUUUUUGAAAAAAAAUAAUUAUUGUGAAACAUGCGUCCAUAGUAACAUGACUACAAGACUCUUACGUUGGUUUUGUAUUAAAUAUUGGGUAGAUUUUAAAGUUCGAUAUUGCAAAUAAUUAUAUAUAUAUAUUAUAUAUAUGUGUGUGUGUGUUCAUUUCGUUGCUGUAAUUGUGAAUAAGAAUUAAGCUCCACUAGAUCUUUUCAUUUUUAUUUUCUUGAAAAGUUUGAGCUUCUCCAGUUAGUAGAGUUUGGAUUUUAAAUCAACUGCUAAAUAUUACAAAAUAUUUUAUUUAUUAGUAACUAUUUAUCAUCAUAAGUAUUUGUGAUAAAUAUUUUUUAUCACAGGUAAGUAAUCUAUGUGUGAUCAUAUAUCUUCUACAACUUUUUUAUAGAUACAAUUUUCGGAUUAAAACUAAAUUUUGAAUCUUACGGACCUAAAAGAUUAAAACUAAAAAUAACUUUGGAUUUUACGUUUUAUAUGCCCAAAAGUUAGAAGUUCAGGCCAGUUGACGAUUCAAAUUUUAUAUAAAGUGACAGUUGACGAUUUAUAUUUUAUAUAAUGUGACAAUGGUACUUAGGUUUCGGAUGGGAAAUACAAAUAUAGUGGUUUGAAUUUAGUGAAUCUAGUGGAUCAAGCGGAAAAAAAUGAAUCUAACAGUUUAAGUGCAGUUCGAACAGAUUUAGUGUCCAAAAUGUUUGUUUAAAUGGCGAAAAUGGUCUAAAGCAUUGUAUAAAAUUAUAAUAUAUAUAUAUAUAUAUAUUUAUAUUUAAAACUAAAUCAAUAGAUGAAAUAACACAUAAUUUAUAUAUAUAUAUAUAUAUAUAUAUAUAUAUUAAAGUGACAUAGUUUAAUUAAAUAAAAAGCCAAUUUUUAAUAAUAUAUUAAUUAUAUAUUAUAAACUAGUUUUCUAUGACUAUCCAUAAAUAUAUAAACUGUAUUAGUAAAUAAAUGGAAAAAAUAUUAUUAAAUAUAUAAACUACAAUACACUGUAUAAACAGAUUUAAUACCAACAGAAAAUAUAAUAACUACAUGAUAAACUGAUAUAUAUAUAUAUAUAUUAUUUUUUAAAGUAAGAUAAGUAAAGUAAAAUAACACGAGCUGCGUAAAACGUUUCAAAUUGCUAGCACUUAGCAGUCGUUGGCUUAUCUUUACAAAAGAGAACAACAAGCAGUCUAUUUUAAUUUAUUAUUAAAAUUUUCUGAAUGGAUAAUUUUUUAUAUAUUAUUCGAGAAACAUUACAACAUUUGAAAUAUUACAUGUGUUAUAACUAUGAUGAUCCUUAUAUUUUUUAGAAAAAAUAAGUUGGUUCAUGACAGAGUUAUGAAAACUACCGCUGAAAUUGACCAAAAACAACUGCUGAAAUAGCUAAGUGUUAGAAUAUUUAGUUGAUAAAUUAUCAAAAGAAAGGAGCUAAAGGGUGUUUGAAAAUGUAAUAUUUAUAAUCAGGACUAUUACUUUCAAGAUUUUUCCAAAUCCGAGCCAUUGAUCAAUUCCUACCAAAACAAUAAAGUAUCUAUAAAGAAUUUAAAUAGUGUAU